rnacentral:rRNA from 1 species
GAACGCUGGCGGCGUGCCUAAUACAUGCAAGUCGAGCGAACGGACGAGAAGCUUGCUUUUCUGAUGUUAGCGGCGGACGGGUGAGUAACACGUGGAUAACCUACCUAUAAGACUGGGAUAACUUCGGGAAACCGGAGCUAAUACCGGAUAAUAUUUUGAACCGCAUGGUUCAAAAGUGAAAGACGGUCUUGCUGUCACUUAUAGAUGGAUCCGCGCUGCAUUGGCUAGUUGGUAAGGUAACGGCUUACCAAGGCAACGAUGCAUAGCCGACCUGAGAGGGUGAUCGGCCACACUGGAACUGAGACACGGUCCAGACUCCUACGGGAGGCAGCAGUAGGGAAUCUUCCGCAAUGGGCGAAAGCCUGACGGAGCAACGCCGCGUGAGUGAUGAAGGUCUUCGGAUCGUAAAACUCUGUUAUUAGGGAAGAACAUAUGUGUAAGUAACUGUGCACAUCUUGACGGUACCUAAUCAGAAAGCCACGGCUAACUACGUG